rnacentral:rRNA from 1 species
ACUCCUACGGGAGGCAGCAGUGGGGAAUUUUGGACAAUGGGCGAAAGCCUGAUCCAGCAAUGCCGCGUGAGUGAAGAAGGCCUUCGGGUUGUAAAGCUCUUUUGUCAGGGAAGAAACGGUGAGAGCUAAUAUCUCUUGCUAAUGACGGUACCUGAAGAAUAAGCACCGGCUAACUACGUGCCAGCAGCCGCGGUAAUACGUAGGGUGCAAGCGUUAAUCGGAAUUACUGGGCGUAAAGCGUGCGCAGGCGGUUUUGUAAGUCUGAUGUGAAAUCCCCGGGCUCAACCUGGGAAUUGCAUUGGAGACUGCAAGGCUAGAAUCUGGCAGAGGGGGGUAGAAUUCCACGUGUAGCAGUGAAAUGCGUAGAUAUGUGGAGGAACACCGAUGGCGAAGGCAGCCCCCUGGGUCAAGAUUGACGCUCAUGCACGAAAGCGUGGGGAGCAAACAGGAUUAGAAACCCUUGUAGUCCCAUGAU